ACGGAAGGCAGCAGUGGGGAAUAUUGGGCAAUGGGCGCAAGCCUGACCCAGCAACGCCGCGUGAGGGAAGAAGGUUUUCGGAUUGUAAACCUCUGUCCUUGGUGACGAAGGAAGUGACGGUAGCCAAGGAGGAAGCCCCGGCUAACUACGUGCCAGCAGCCGCGGUAAUACGUAGGGGGCGAGCGUUGUCCGGAAUGACUGGGCGUAAAGGGCGUGUAGGCGGCCGGAUAAGUUGGGAGUGAAACACCUGCUUUUAAGGUGGGUACUGCUUUCAAAACUGUCUGGCUUGAGUGCGGAAGAGGUAAGUGGAAUUCCCAGUGUAGCGGUGAAAUGCGUAGAGAUUGGGAGGAACACCAGUGGCGAAGGCGACUUACUGGGCCGUAACUGACGCUGAGGCGCGAAAGCGUGGGGAGCAAACAGGAUUAGAUACCCUGGUA
rnacentral:rRNA from 1 species